rnacentral:rRNA from 1 species
CUACCCUUGACAUGUAUGGAACCUGGCUGAGAGGUCGGGGUGCCCGAAAGGGAGCCAUAACACAGGUGCUGCAUGGCUGUCGUCAGCUCGUGUCGUGAGAUGUUGGGUUAAGUCCCGCAACGAGCGCAACCCUUGUCCCUAGUUGCUACGCAAGAGCACUCUAGGGAGACUGCCGGUGACAAACCGGAGGAAGGUGGGGAUGACGUCAAGUCCUCAUGGCCCUUAUGGGUAGGGCUUCACACGUCAUACAAUGGUCGGAACAGAGGGUCGCCAAUCCGCGAGGGGGAGCCAAUCCCAGAAAACCGAUCGUAGUCCGGAUCGCACUCUGCAACUCGAGUGCGUGAAGCUGGAAUCGCUAGUAAUCGCGGAUCAGCAUGCCGCGGUGAAUACGUUCCC